UCGGCGGGGCUCCAGCGGGUCCAGAGCCCUGGGAUUCAGAUGCAAACCAGCUUCGCCUAAACUCCGGGCUGUUUUCAAAGGGCUGCGGGGAUCAGUCAAUGGGCAGAGGUUGGGCUGGUGCUUUCAGCCCUAAUCAGGUCAUUAGAACAGCCACACUGGGUCAGAGCAAAGGUCCACCCAGCCCAGUGUCCUGUCUUCCCACAGCGGCCAAUGUCAGGCGCCCCAGAGGGAAUGAACAGAACAGGGAAUCACCCAGCCAUCCAUCAGGUCAGGACUGGAGCCCCAGCAGCCCCUGGGGAGGAGACACUCCUAACCCCAUCUAGCUGCAAUUCAGAGCAGGUAUUCUUCCCAGCCGGCUCUCCCUUUGUGAAACCGGGGACCAGAUCCUCAGAAGGGCCUGCCACCGCUUUGCCUGCAGUAGGGUGUAUUCGAGGAACGCGAGCGCUUGGAGUUCCCAGUGUCUCUAGAAGAGAAGUGGAUUUGCGAGACGCUCGUUCCCACGUUCAACAGCAGGCCCGUAGACAAAAGGAGAUCAGCGCAGCUCAUUAGGAAGUUCUUAGAACUCCGUACGCCAGCAGAAUAGAAGAUUAGUCAGAGCUUCCCACAACCUGCCAGACAAGAAACCCAGUCAUCAAGGCAAUGAGUUUUCCCGGCUCAUUCCCACACUAGUCAAACGUUUGAACUUUCAGGUAUGGGAGCAGCUUCCCCUGAUGUUUUGAGGAACUUCUCCUUCCUACAUGCUCUUCCGUCUCCAGUGACUUUCCUCAGUUCAUACCCUAUCCCAGGUGUUUCUAGAGUGCCCGUCACCAUAGGAUCACUAGUCCCACCUUGGGCCUCUCCCUCCCCCAGCUGUGUGGCAAUUUCCCAUGGGUAUUGGCUCACCGAGACCACCCUUGAGGGUCACCAUCUCUAAAGAAAGCCUGGUUUUAAUAGUCCAUCAAGACCGCAAUAGAAGUGACCUCACAGGGAAAGGGAGACCAGGGUUAGAAUUGCUCAUGAAAAACCCACAUCUUUAGGGGACUUCAUGUCUCAGGGAACAGGCCAUGGAAUACGGAGCCUUUCACCACUAUCUCUAGUGCAAAUCCGGAUUAAGUGGGCAGUGCCAGUCAGUGCCAUCCAGGGAUUGUUUGUUGCUCAAGGUGAAACAAGUUGUUGAUGGUAAGUUCAGUUUCUAGGGGAUGGGGAGCAUCAGUAUAGGUUCUACCCAUCAAUUACAACCGGCUCUAAAUGCCAAGGAACAAAUAAGCCACCAAGACUCUGUCCCCUCCUUGCUGUCGGGGACCCUGUGGAUAAAUGAUUCCAAUCCCCGGGACUUUUCAAGCUGGCACUACAAUCAAACAAACCAACCAGCCACCGCUCUGGGAUUCCUGCCUCCCCUCCCCUCCCAUGCAGCUCUGGGAAAUGUCCCCCGAGAGCUGCCAGCUGUGAAAAGCGGCAGCAGCUGGAAUGUGGGAGUGAGGGCAGAACUGAUGGAAAUAAAGCAGUGGUAGACCGAGCA
rnacentral:lncRNA from 1 species